UUUAGUCAUGGUAGAACGGAGAUGAACACACUGUGUUUUAAAUGUAGAGCUGGGUUACAAAAGUUAACUUUAGCGCUGCGCGUUCGGUUCCAAACUCAAUUUAGCGCGUUAACAGGUACCCUAGCUCUACAUUGAAUAAGCAAAAUGUUUAUCUCCUAAAUAAUACUCAGUACUGUUCUGCUCCGUUUGAAGGUUUACAACCAAGCCCCUGUCACUUCUUGUCAAAUGGAGCAUAUGUUUAUCACAAAUGGGGUUUACACGUUGAAUUGUUGUAGGAUGAUAUGACGACGAUAGCAGAAGCAGUCCAUGCUUUGUUCAUAACAACAGGGAGUAUUGAUCGUUACCGUGACUAGUUCGCGACACUAUACUGAAACACAUAUUCCAUAAAGGAACAGACAUAUUACCUUGUUCAUCACAGCGGUGUCAUGAAACUGCUUCUGCUUCUGCUGUUGCUGAUGGUGUUGGUGGACCUCGUGUUUCUGGAGGUACGACGGUGUGGUGUGGGGAGGAAGAGAAGGAGGAUGAUGCUGGUGGGGAGUGGGUGGAUGCGAAUGAAGAGGAGAUGGAUAAGAAGUACGACUAAGUUGGAAGGAAGAGAUCUGGACAAUCUUGGAAUUGCCCAGGGCAUACUAUCCAAUCACAGGUUUUAUUCAAAGUCAGAGGUGGAGACAAGUUGAUGAAUUUGGCUGAUGUCGAAGACGAUGGUAUUGCGGUGAAGACGCGGGAAGGUACCGGAGUCAGUGUGUUGAUCAUAUAUAUUUGAUCAUGAUGCA